CACGUAGGUGGGUUUGUAAGUCAGAUGUGAAAGCCUUCUGUUCAACGGAAGAAUUGCAUCUGAAACUGCGAGUCUUGAGUGUAGGAGGGGAGAAUGGAACUUCUGGUGGAGCGGUGAAAUGCGUAGAUAUCAGAAGGAACGCCGGCGGCGAAAGCGAUUCUCUGGCCUAUUACUGACACUCAGUGUGCGAAAGCUAGGGGAGCAACG
rnacentral:rRNA from 1 species